GGAAUCUUCCACAAUGGGCGCAAGCCUGAUGGAGCGACACCGCGUGAGUGAAGAAGGGUUUCUGCUCGUAAAGCUCUGUUGUUAGAGAAGAACGUGCGUGAGAGUAACUGUUCACGCAGUGACGGUAUCUAACCAGAAAGUCACGGCUAACUACGUGCCAGCAGCCGCGGUAAUACGUAGGGGGCGAGCGUUGUCCGGAAUGACUGGGCGUAAAGCGAGCGCAGGCGGUUUCUUAAGUCUGAUGUGAAAGCCUUCGGCUUAACCGAUGAAGUGCAUCGGAAACUGGGAAACUUGAGUGCAGAAGAGGACAGUGGAACUCCAUGUGUAGCGGUGAAAUGCGUAGAUAUAUGGAAGAACACCAGUGGCGAAGGCGGCUGUCUGGUCUGUAACUGACGCUGAGGCUCGAAAGCAUGGGUAGCGAACA
rnacentral:rRNA from 1 species